UGUAAUUGAAUGGCAACGGCUUCGACUUUGAAAUCGUCUUGGUUCUCAGUUUUUCCAUCUGAAACAAUUUUCUUUACAAAGAUACGUGAUCAAGGAGUCCAUGUUUGCUUAUUAUAUAUACGUAUGUUCUUAACAAAUGUGCUUUGUAUUACAAGAAAAAUGGCUUCUAAGAAAUUUGUGUGUUCUUGGAAUGUUUUCUUGAUUGUCAUGCUGCUUCUGGUCUCUGCAAUGGGAUCAAGGGAUCUGCCAAAGACCACCAUGCCUCGUAUGACUCGCGAAAAGGCUUAUCAUCCUAGGAUACUUCAGGGACAGAAGAAUCCUAGAGGAGGAGCUCCUUGGGAUGGCCAUUACUAGGCUUCCCUUCCUAGGGUUCAAUUAAUUAUAUUUUCUUAACUCAUCUCCUGAUCUGUGCCUGGCAUUGACUAUGCAUAAGGGCUGAGCCUGAUAUCAAAAAAUCCUGCCAGAAUUGUAGCCGGAAAGAGAGAAAUAAAUGACUGAAGAUAAUAUCUUUUUUUUUUUAAUAAAAAUGUUGCAAAA